CUGUUACUGCUUCUCCUCUCCCCUGGCAUUUGCCCAGCCCUUGGGGUGAACUUGCUCUCCCUGAUGGGCAUUAGGGAUGCAGGAGGAGUAGGACACGUGCUGGAGUGAUCCCUGUGCUCCUGCAGAAUGGGCGUGUGAGCUGGUACUGCCUUUUCAUUCUGCAGCAAAGUGUCUGAGCCUGCCUUUUUGGGACCGAUCCUUUGAAUUUCACAGAAACAAGCUGCUACAGCUUUUGAAUGAACUUGCUGCUAUUUGCUCUCACUCUCUCCCUCUUCCAGCUGUAUUUCUCAUCGCAAAUAAAGCCCAAGAGGAGCCGAAGAAUUCCUAGGGAAGCACCAUUCAUAUCUUAAGAAAUUGUCACUGUCAAAAGAAAAAUGCACCAAUAAAGAAUAUCCAACCCAAAAGAUGUAUUAAAGA
rnacentral:lncRNA from 1 species